UGGCUGAACAAGCCCUGCAAUAAAUGCCAACUUUUAGCGCACGGCUCUCUCCCAAGAGCCAUUUCCCUAGACCGAAUAUAGGAAUCGUAUUCGGUCUUUUUUU
rfam:Serratia marcescens FGI94, complete genome.